rnacentral:rRNA from 1 species
AGUGAACGCUGGCGGUAGGCCUAACACAUGCAAGUCGAACGGCAGCACAGUAAGAGCUUGCUCUUACGGGUGGCGAGUGGCGGACGGGUGAGGAAUACAUCGGAAUCUACUUUUUCGUGGGGGAUAACGUAGGGAAACUUACGCUAAUACCGCAUACGACCUACGGGUGAAAGCAGGGGAUCUUCGGACCUUGCGCGAUUGAAUGAGCCGAUGUCGGAUUAGCUAGUUGGCGGGGUAAAGGCCCACCAAGGCGACGAUCCGUAGCUGGUCUGAGAGGAUGAUCAGCCACACUGGAACUGAGACACGGUCCAGACUCCUACGGGAGGCAGCAGUAGGGAAUAUUGGGCAAUGGGCGAAAGCCUGAUCCAGCCAUGCCGCGUGGGUGAAGAAGGCCUUCGGGUUGUAAAGCCCUUUUGUUGGGAAAGAAAAGCAGCAGGUUAAUACCCCGCUGUUCUGACGGUACCCAAAGAGUAAGCACCGGCUAACUUCGUG